UGGCUGGGGUUAGAGCGUUGGCCUCCAGAGCCAAAGACCAGAGGUUCAAAUCCUCU
rnacentral:tRNA from 1 species